AACGAACGCUGGCGGCAGGCUUAACACAUGCAAGUCGAACGAGAUCUUCGGAUCUAGUGGCAGACGGGUGAGGAACACGUGGGAACAUCCCUUUCAGUUCGGAAUAACGUUGGGAAACUAACGCUAAUACCGGAUACGUCCUUCGGGAGAAAGAUUUAUCGCUGAAAGAUUGGCCCGCGUCUGAUAGCUAGUUGGUGAGGCAAUGGCUCACCAAGGCUACGAUCAGUAGCUGAUCUGAGAGGAUGAUCAGCCACAUUGGGACUGAGACACGGCCCAAACUCCUACGGGAGGCAGCAGUGGGGAAUAUUGGACAAUGGGCGCAAGCCUGAUCCAGCCAUGCCGCGUGAGUGAUGACGGCCUUCGGGUUGUAAAGCUCUUUUGUCCGGGAAGAUAAUGACUGUACCGGAAGAAUAAGCCCCGGCAAACUUCGUGCCAGCAGCCGCCGCUG
rnacentral:rRNA from 1 species